rnacentral:tRNA from 1 species
GGAGGGGUGGCCGAGUGGUUGAAGGCGCACGCCUGGAAAGUGUGUAGGGGCGAAAGUCUCUCGCGGGUUCGAAUCCCGCUCCCUCCGCCA